rnacentral:lncRNA from 1 species
UUUGGUACCAUCACUACUCAUUUUUUCCAACUUUGACCUUAUCGAAGAUCAUUCUUGUUUUUCAUUUGUGUUCAAGAUACAGUGUACAUUUCUUUUUUUCUUUUGGGGUGGGGGGUAUUGCAUAGAAUAUUCUGACAAAUGUAUUAUUGUUAUUAUAUCAUCAUUAUUAUUCAAAAAAAAAAUCGUCCAGUUAUUGCUCUCAACUGUUAG